UUCAUCUGAUGGGGUUCCCUUUGUAGGUGACCUGGCCUUUCUGUCUGACUGCCCUUAACAUUUUUUCUUUCAUUUAGAGUUUGGAGAAUCUGAUGAUUAUGUGUCUCGGGGAUGAUCUCCUUGUGGAGUAUCUCACUGGCGUUCUCUGGAUUUCUUGAAUUUGAGUGUUGGCCUGUCUUGCUAGAACUAACUUGGGGAAGUUAGUUCUCUUGGAUCCUAUGCUGAAGUAUGUUUUCCAACUUGGUUCCAUUCUCCUUGUCUUUUUCAGGUACCCCAAUCCAUCAUAGAUUCGUUCUCUUUAUGUAAUCCCAUAUUUUUUGAUGGUAUCGUUCAUUCCUUUUCAUUCUUUUAUCUCUAUUCUUGUCUGCCUGUCUUAUUUCAGAAAGAUAGUCUUCAAGCUCUGAGAUUCUUUUCUUGGCCUAUUCUGCUGUUAAUAAUUGUGAUUUCAUUGUGAAGUUCUUGUAGUGUGUUUUUCAGCUCUAAAAGGUGAGUUAUGUUUUUCUCUAGACCGGCUAUUUUGGCUGUCCGCUCCUGUAUUGUUUUGUCAUGAUUCUUAGUUUCUUUGCAUUGGGUUACAAGAUGCUCCUUUAGGUCAUUGAAGUUCACUGUUAUUCACAUUCUGAAGCCUACUCUGUCAUUUCAGCCAUCUCAGGCUCAACCCAGUUCUGAGCCCUUGCUGGAGAGGUGUUGCAGGGAUACUCUGGCUUUUUGAGUCCUCAGGAUUUUGGGGUUAUUUCUCAUCUCUGUGGGUCUAUCUUAAACUUUGACCUUGAGGAUGGGAUUUUUGUGGCUUUUUAAAUUGUUAUUGUUGUUGUUUCCUGCUUGUUUUUCUUUUAACAGUCUGGCCACUCUUCUGCAGGGCUGCUGCAGUUUGCUGGGGGUUCGCACUAUACCCUAGUUGCCUCGGUUUUUCCCAUAGCUGGAGGUAUCAUCAGUGAAGUCUGUGAAACAGCAAAGAUGGCUGCCUGCCACUUCCUCUGGAAGCUCCAGCCCAGCAGGUGCUGGGAUUACAAGCGUGAGCUACCACACCCAGCGAGGAAGCCAAGUUUAACGUGUGUGCUCCACUCCUCCAACCUGGCCAAAGGGCAGUCAUCAUCACUGGCCACUACUGACCACAGCCUUUAGAAACUCCCCUUGAACGUGCUGGGCUGACCUUCCUCUGAUCACAGGCAAGGUGAACAAAUAGAAGCUGAGGGUGAAGGACCUACAGCUGUCACCUUCAUCUCUUCUCAACACGGCCAACCGUCCCCUUGGAUCUCCCAGACAGACAACAAGGGACAUCUCUGGUUUCUCGGUGCCCCCUAGAAACCUCGGGUCAUUUCAAGGCAUUAUGCAAAUGAGAAGCUUUCCUUCUCUUCACCUCAUCUCCUGAUCUGCACAAAAGUGACUGUAGGACC